AGUGAACGCUGGCGAUAGGCCUAACACAUGCAAGUCGAACGGCAGCACAGUAAGAGCUUGCUCUUACGGGUGGCGAGUGGCGGACGGGUGAGGAAUACAUCGGAAUCUACUUUUUCGUGGGGGAUAACGUAGGGAAACUUACGCUAAUACCGCAUACGACCUACGGUUGAAAGCAGGGGAUCUUCGGACCUUGCGCGAUUGAAUGAGCCGAUGUCGGAUUAGUUAGUUGGCGGGGUAAAGGCCCACCAAGGCGAGGAUCCGUAGCUGGUCUGAGAGGAUGAUCAGCCACACUGGAACUGAGACACGGUCCAGACUCCUACGGGAGGCAGCAGUGGGGAAUAUUGGGCAAUGGGCGCAAGCCUGAUCCAGCCAUACCGCGUGGGUGAAGAAGGCCUUCGGGUUGUAAAGCCCUUUUGUUGGGAAAGAAAAGCAGCAGGUUAAUACCCCGCUGUUCUGACGGUACCCAAAGAAUAAGCACCGGCUAACUUCGUG
rnacentral:rRNA from 1 species